rnacentral:rRNA from 1 species
CCUACGGGCGGCAGCAGUGAGGAAUAUUGGUCAAUGGACGAGAGUCUGAACCAGCCAAGUAGCGUGAAGGAUGACUGCCCUAUGGGUUGUAAACUUCUUUUAUAUGGGAAUAAAAUGUUCCACGUGUGGGAUUUUGUAUGUACCCUAUGAAUAAGGAACGGCUAACUCCGGGCCAGCAGCCGCGGUAAUUCGGAGGAUUCGAGCGUUAUCCGGAUUUUUUGGGUUUAAAGGGGGCGUAGGUGGGUUGUUAAGUCAGUUGUGAAAGUUUGCGGCUCAACCGUAAAAUUGCAGUUGAAACUGGCAGUCUUGAGUGCAGUAGAGGUGGGCGGAAUUCGUGGUGUAGCGGUGAAAUGCUUAGAUAUCACGAAGAACUCCGAUUGCGAAGGCAGUUCACUGGACUGCAACUGACACUGAGGCUCGAAAGUGUGGGUAUCAAACAGGAUUAGAUACCCCAGUAGUC